GUAGGUGGCAAGCGUUGUCCGGAAUUAUUGGGCGUAAAGCGCGCGCAGGUGGUUCUUUAAGUCUGAUGUGAAAGCCCCCGGCUCAACCGGGGAGGGUCAUUGGAAACUGGGGAACUUGAGUGCAGGAGAGGAAAGUGGAAUUCCACGUGUAGCGGUGAAAUGCGUAGAUAUGUGGAGGAACACCAGUGGCGAAGGCGACUUUCUGGCCUGUAACUGACACUGAGGCGCGAAAGCGUGGGGAGCAAACAGGGAUUAGAUACCCUGGUAGUCCACGCCGUAAACGAUGAGUGCUAAGUGUUGGGGGGGUUUCCCGCCCCUCAGUGCUGCAGCUAACGCAUUAAGCACUACGCCUGGGGAGUACGGUCGCAAGACUG
rnacentral:rRNA from 1 species